rnacentral:rRNA from 1 species
UACGUAGGGGGCAAGUGUUGUCCGGAUUUAUUGGGCGUAAAGAGCGUGUAGGCGGCCAGACAAGUCUGCUGUGAAAACUCGAGGCUCAACCUCGAGCUGUCGGUGGAAACUGUCUGGCUAGAGUCCGGAAGAGGAGAGUGGAAUUCCUGGUGUAGCGGUGAAAUGCGCAGAUAUCAGGAAGAACACCUAUGGCGAAGGCAGCUCUCUGGGACGGUACUGACGCUGAGACGCGAAAGCGUGGGGAGCGAACAGG